rnacentral:rRNA from 1 species
AGCUCCAAUAGCGUAUAUUAAAAUUGUUGCCGUUAAAAAGCUCGUAGUCGAACUUCGGGCUCUGUCAGCCGGUCCGCCUUCUUGGUGUGUACUUGUUUGACGGAGCCUUACCUCCUGGUGAACGGCAAUGUCCUUUACUGGGUGUCGUCGCAAACCAGGACUUUUACUUUGAAAAAAUUAGAGUGUUCAAAGCAGGCCUUUGCCCGAAUACAUUAGCAUGGAAUAAUAAAAUAGGACGCGCGUUCCCAUUUUGUUGGUUUCUGAGAUCGCCGUAAUGAUUAAUAGGGAUAGUUGGGGGCAUUUGUAUUCCGUCGUCAGAGGUGAAAUUCUUGGAUUGCCGGAAGACAAACUACUGCGAAAGCAUUUGCCAAGGAUGUUUUCA